UGGGGAAUAUUGCACAAUGGAGGGAACUCUGAUGCAGCGACGCCGCGUGAACGAAGAAGGCUUUCGAGUCGUAAAGUUCUUUUAUAUGGGAAGAUAAUGACGGUACCAUAAGAAAAAGCCCCGGCUAACUACGUGCCAGCAGCCGCGGUAAUACGUAGGGGGCUAGCGUUGUCCGGAAUCACUGGGCGUAAAGGGUUCGCAGGCGGAAAUGCAAGUCAGGUGUAAAAGGCAGUAGCUUAACUACUGUAAGCAUUUGAAACUGCAUAUCUUGAGAAGAGUAGAGGUAAGUGGAAUUUUUAGUGUAGCGGUGAAAUGCGUAGAUAAUAAAAAGAAUACCGGUGGCGAAGGCGACUUACUGGGCUCAUUCUGACGCUGAGGAACGAAAGCGUGGGUAGCAAACAGG
rnacentral:rRNA from 1 species